AAGAGACAGCAGUAGCCGCGGGAAUACAUAGGUCGCAAGCGUUAUCCGGAAUUAUUGGGCGUAAAGCGUUCGUAGGCUGUUUAUUAAGUCUGGAGUCAAAUCCCAGGGCUCAACCCUGGCUCGCUUUGGAUACUGGUAAACUAGAGUUGGAUAGAGGUAAGCGGAAUUCCAUGUGAAGCGGUGAAAUGCGUAGAUAUAUGGAAGAACACCAAAGGCGAAGGCAGCUUACUGGGUCUAUACUGACGCUGAGGGACGAAAGCGUGGGGAGCAAACAGGAUUAGAUACCCCGGUAGUCCCUGUCUCUUAUACA
rnacentral:rRNA from 1 species